GACGAACGCUGGCGGCGUGCUUAACACAUGCAAGUCGAACGGAAAGGCCCUGCUUUUGUGGGGUGCUCGAGUGGCGAACGGGUGAGUAACACGUGAGUAACCUGCCCUUGACUUUGGGAUAACUUCAGGAAACUGGGGCUAAUACCGGAUAGGAGCUCCUGCUGCAUGGUGGGGGUUGGAAAGUUUCGGCGGUUGGGGAUGGACUCGCGGCUUAUCAGCUUGUUGGUGGGGUAGUGGCUUACCAAGGCUUUGACGGGUAGCCGGCCUGAGAGGGUGUCCGGCCACAUUGGGACUGAGAUACGGCCCAGACUCCUACGGGAGGCAGCAGUGGGGAAUAUUGCACAAUGGGCGGAAGCCUGAUGCAGCAACGCCGCGUGCGGGAUGACGGCCUUCGGGUUGUAAACCGCUUUCGCCUGUGACGAAGCGUGAGUGACGGUAAUGGGUAAAGAAGCACCGGCUAACUACGU
rnacentral:rRNA from 1 species